CCAGUGUCCAGUUCAGAUGGAGCCUGGGAACUGUGAUGUCACAGCCCAGGCUCCAGCUGGAACGUCCAGCACCCAGCAAAGGGCACAACACAACCCUUGGCCGCUGUGUUCGCAUGCUCUUCACCCUGCUUCUGCCCACUCUGCUUUUCACCUGUCCCCUGAUAACCCUUUCAGUCCUGAAAGAUCCUUAGUGUCUGGAUUUCAUCAUCCAGCCCUGCAGGAUGCUCCCAUUUCUCCUGAGGAUGGCUGUCCCAGACAGAGAGGAGGAGAUGGAGGUAGAUGCAAAGAUUGAUACGGAGGAGGAGAUGGAAAUAGAUGGAGAAGACCCUGGAGAGGAAGAGAUGGAUGUGGAUGUGGAGGAGGAAGAAGAGAUGGACGUGUAUGUUGAUGAGGAAGAAGAAAUGGAUGUGGAUAUGGAAGAGUCCAUUGAGGACAUGGAUAUUGAUUAAAAAGGUGCGAUGGACAUCAUGGACAGAGACACCACCCUUGUGUAUAUAUGUUCUACACUUUGUUGUUGUUCUUUAGUAUGUAGAUUGUAGGGCUAUUUUUGACUUCUGUAAAUACGUUUCCCAUAGUUUUGCUAGGUAGGUUUUUCUUUAUAUAUGUUCUAUCGAUUGUUGUUGUUACAAAUAUUCUUACAAUGUAAAUAUGUUCUGUAUUUUUGCUGCUGUUCUUCUGUAAUAAACAAAUUUUACUUUUCACA